UCUGGGCAUGAUGGCAUAUGCCUAUAAUUCCUGCUACAUGGCAGGUUGAAGCUGGUAGAUCUUUUGGGCUCAGGAGUUCUGAGAUGUAAUGGGCUAAUUCAGUUAGGGGUCCAGUCUGGAAUCAGUAGGGUAAGCCCCUGGAAGCAGGGGGUCACCAGAUUGCCUAAGAAGGGGCAAACCAGAAACCAAAGUUCCCAUACCAAUCAGAGGAAGAUCCAGCCUCUUAGUGGUCCCUGCAUUUCCAGCCUAAGAUAGAAGACCCAGUCUCAA
rnacentral:SRP_RNA from 1 species